CUCUCUGUCUCAAAAAUAAAGAAACAUUAAAACAAAAUAAAAUUUAAAAAGAAGUUGAUUAAUAAAGGGGAUUCCUCCAUGGGCCAAGGUCAAGAUUUUCAAAUUAGUCCAUCAUAAUGUGUGUGGAUACUAAACACCCAGAUAUAUAACCAAACAGCUUGUGACAGACCCUGGCAGCUAAACAGCAGUCUUACAGAUCCAAGAUCAACCACUGCAAUCUUCCUGUGGGUAAAAUGAAGCAAUGAGCAAAAUGGAACAAAGUUUUGUGGGCACAGGGUGGCUCAUUUCUCAUGGCACUGAAGAUUUAAGAAGGGGGAACAGAGGACUACAAUGGGAUUGCAGAGUACUGGAAAUCACAGAGGAACACAGCCAGCCUGACCUGAAAUGUAUGCCACGGUCUACCAAAAACCUGGGCCCGAGACAGCACCCAAGUAACAGCCCAAGUCUGAACAAGCCACGAAAGAAACCAGAACUCUCAGAUUGCUCCAGAAGGACCUCCGAGAGGGCGGGGACUGCCAGCCUCAUGCGAUAGUAAAAAGGAACCAAGCGCUGAGAAGGAAGCCUGGGGGACUCUAGUGGAGCCAGGUGGGAGCCCCAGGCUUUCAGAGGCUCGCUCUCAAAAGAGAAAAACGGUCCUCUUCCCAGUCCUGGCGCUUCCCGCCCCAAUCCAAGCAGGGCCUGCGAGAAAUGCCCGCCGAGGACUGAAACCUGGCGGUCGGCACGACCCUCAGAGAGCAGGAGGCGCCCAACACGGAGACUCCACAUUUCCUGUUUCAGGGCUGGUAGGUGGAGGUGAGAGGCCGGCUGAUCACGCUCGGGCUUUUGGGCAACGUAGUUCUGGCACCGCAAGGAUGCUGGGAAGUGUAGUUUUCGGCCUGCAGCAGACACCCUGCCCAGCGCAGACUCCAACCUCGGUACUUUGAAGAUGGGCCUCUUCACAGACUGUCCCACAGUUCACCAGCAUGGUUCACUGCGGCUCCGAGCCUCCCACCACCCCCUUCCUAACCGGCGCACCACAUUACCGCUCUAAAAAAGCGGGACCUUGUCUGAGAAACUUCUGGCGCCCGUUUCCUAGCAAAUGAGGUAGAGCUCAACAGCGUAGGUCCGCCGGGAAAACGAGCGCCCAUUACGCGCCUGCGUGGGAGACUGAAUCACUUCCUACCGCCUAGUAAUCUGGGUCGUGAAAACCUCAUUCGCUGAGCAUUGCGGAGGGCGGGG